CUCUUAACCCAAGCAUGGCACAUGAGACAGAAGAUGUGGAUCUUAGGGAAGAGUGGUGUGAACUUGGCAGAGAUGCUACAUGGCAUAAUCUGAACUCUUGUUUUUCAAAGGAGAGAGCUAUGUUUGGAAAAAGUAAAGCCUUGCCAAGAAGCACACAUGUAAUAAGUGGCAAAACUGAAACCAAUCUUUUUUUUUUUUUUUAAUUUGGGGCAGCGGGGAGUAUUGCAUGUGGACCCACAGCUGGCCUGCGAGUGGCAAGUAGAAAUUUGUUUCUUAGCCAGUGGCGGGCUGGAGCUUCUGGUACCAGUUCCAGAGGGAGGAGUGUUAAACAUUCGGGAUUUUGGCAGGCAGGUUAACCGUGGUAGCUGGAAAUGUGCCAGAGUCAGAGUAUGUACUAAGGUUACAAACCAACCCUCCUUUUUUUUCUUUCCAAAGAGCCAGUUUACCAGCACACCCUUGCCUAGUUCCCUGUGGGGAUCAUUUACAGUCAGGGCAGACGCCAUGUUUCAGAUGAGAAACAACCUCAGUUUGCGGUGUUUUUCAACAGUUGCCAUUUCCAACCCACCGUCAGCAGAUUGCCCAGGGGCUGCCAGCUAGACCUCAUUUUGCACAUCCAACCCCUCAAACCCACCUCCUGCAAUGGCUGGCACUCUCUCUCUCUGGGACUCAUGCACAAAAUGAGCCUACUAUCUCUAUCUUCUGCUGCCCUUGUUUCCAGCUCAGAAUCAGCUCCUUCCUAACUUUUGAACAGUAGAACAUCAGUACUAUAAGAAUAAGACAAGUCUUGGCAAGUGCGUGUAAGAUCAAGAGCAGUAUCUUUAAGAGACUUGCUUUAAAAAAAAAAAAAGAAGAAGACUGUUAAGGCAGCCAAUAAGCAAAUGCCCCCAGGGAUAGUGACUCUAAUUAUUUAAAGUAGGAAACUCUUGUGCAAAUUGCCCAAGUCAUCUCAUUUCAGGCUUCCGUUGUGUGGCUUGGCGGCUUGCUGCUUCAUUCCCAUCAGAGGGCAAAGGCUGAAAGAGAAAGAAAUCUCCGUGACUGCUUCCAGAGAGAUGUGGGGGGAGCCAGGGCUGCUGCUGCUGUGCAUUCAGCAAGACUUCCUGGAACGUAAUGUCAUCAUGAGAUUGUCUCCAUGGCAGACCUGGAGUUCCGGUUGCAGAACUGGCAAAAUAUGGGGAUGGCAAGACAGAUGAAGUCCUGGCACUUAAUGUCUGUGAAGACAGAAGUAUUUUUACACAUUCGAAUGCUCUAGCUCCAUCCUCUCCUGUUUUCUUCCUCCUUCUUCCUCUUCAUCCUCCUCUCUACUCAAAAUCUGCCCCCUGACCCCAUUUUACAGUUGUUAAACUUCCACGGUGGGUUCCCACCAAGCAUACUAAACUAGAUAUCUUGAGAAACGCGAAAAUGUGUGUUGAGGUGAGAAUUUGGCACAUGGAUCAAGCCACCUCCCUUUCUAAGAUGGACCUGCCUUAAUGUACCCAUUGUUUCUUCAACAAUCCCCGUUGAAGACAGCUUCCCUGGUGGCUUAGUGGUAAAGAAUCUGCCUGCCAAUGCAGGAGACAUGGGUUCGAUCCCUGGUCCAGGAGGAUCCCACAGGCCACAGAGCAGCUAAGCCUGUGUACCACAACCAUUAAGCCUGUGCUCCAGAGCCUGGGAGCCACAACUGCUGAAAUCCCCAAGCCCUGGAGCCCAUGCUCUGGAACAAGAGAAACCACUGUGGUGGGAAGCCUGCGCACCACAACCAGAGAGUGGGCCCUGCUCGCAGCAAAUAG
ensembl:lncRNA